GAUGAACGCUGGCGGCGUGCUUAACACAUGCAAGUCGAACGGAAAGGCCCAAGCUUGCUUGGGUACUCGAGUGGCGAACGGGUGAGUAACACGUGGGUGAUCUGCCCUGCACUUCGGGAUAAGCCUGGGAAACUGGGUCUAAUACCGGAUAGGACGAUGGUUUGGAUGCCAUUGUGGAAAGUUUUUUCGGUGUGGGAUGAGCUCGCGGCCUAUCAGCUUGUUGGUGGGGUAAUGUCGUACCAAGGCGUCUACGGGUAGCCGGCCUGAGAGGGUGUACGGCCACAUUGGGACUGAGAUACGGCCCAGACUCCUACGGGAGGCAGCAGUGGGGAAUAUUGCACAAUGGGCGCAAGCCUGAUGCAGAGACGCCGCGUGGGGGAUGACGGCCUUCGGGUUGUGAACUCCUUUCGCUAGGGACGAAGCGUUUUUGUGACGGUAACUGGAGAAGAAGCACCGGCUAACUACGUG
rnacentral:rRNA from 1 species